rnacentral:lncRNA from 1 species
UAUAAAACUAUCAUAUCCCCUAGUUGUUAUGCAUCAAACAAUAAAAAACAACCAUUUAAAAUGGCUAACUCCUUUUUGUUAUCCUUACUAGUGUUCUUCCUUGCUGCUCUUAUGCUUGCUCCUCAAGCUUUCGCUGAAAGUUACAAACUUCCUCCGUCCAUCAAGAAACUAAUUGACGAGAAAACACCAAUUUCCUGCACAACCGACCCGACUCGCCCGUGUACGCCCUUUUAUGGUCGUGGUCCACCUUAUGGCAGUCACCGCCCACCAGCGGACGAUUAACUCCAUUUCUAAAGCAUGAAUUCAUAGAGGCAUGUCAGUAUCUACUAAAUAAGAUGUCAUUGUUGCUAAUGCUUUGUGUUUGUAUACUUUGUACCAUGUCUAUGGCCGAGUUAUGAACAUCUUACAUGUUGUAUCAAUGCAAAUAAACAAGAUUGAAUCUUGUUAUAUAUGCUCAAUUUACAAAUAAAUAGUUUAUGAUUCUAA